rnacentral:rRNA from 1 species
UCCUACGGGAGGCAGCAGUCGGGAAUUUUGGGCAAUGGGCGAAAGCCUGACCCAGCAACGCCGCGUGAAGGAUGAAAUCCCUCGGGAUGUAAACUUCGCAAGAACGGGAAGAAUAAGCCGGUGUAAAUACCACCGGCGAUGACGGUACUGUUUGUAAGCUCCGGCUAACUCCGUGCCAGCAGCCGCGGUAAUACGGGGGGAGCAAGCGUUGUUCGGAUUUACUGGGCGUAAAGGGCGCGUAGGCGGCCACCGCAAGUCGGUUGUGAAAUCUCCGGGCUUAACCCGGAAAGGUCAACUGAUACUGCGGGGCUAGAGUGCAGAAGGGGCAACUGGAAUUCUCGGUGUAGCGGUGAAAUGCGUAGAUAUCGAGAGGAACACCUGCGGCGAAGGCGGGUUGCUGGGCUGACACUGACGCUGAGGCGCGAAAGCUAGGGGAGCGAACGGGAUUAGAUACCCCGGUAGUCCUAGCCUUAAACGAUGAAUGCUUGGUGUCUGGGGUUUUAUAGUCCCCGGGUGCCGUCGCUAACGCUUUAAGCAUUCCGCCUGGGGAGUACGGUCGCAAGACUGAAACUCAAAGGAAUUGACGGA